GGCUCCGGUGUCCCAGGCGUCGCGGGACCGCCCUGGUGUGUGGCGGUGGGAUCCCGUGUCCGUUUCCCCGGCGGGUCCGGCUUUU
rnacentral:pre_miRNA from 2 species